AUACGUAGGUGACAAGCGUUAUCCGGAUUUACUGGGUGUAAAGGGCGUGUAGGCGGUUUAGCAAGUCAGAAGUGAAAUUCCCGGGCUUAACUUGGGCGCUGCUUCUGAAACUGCUUUACUUGAGUGCUGGAGAGGAUAGUGGAAUUCCUAGUGUAGCGGUAAAAUGCGCAGAUAUUAGGAGGAACUCCGGUGGCGAAGGCGGCUAUCUGGACAGUAACUGACGCUGAGGCGCGAAAGCACGGGGAGCAAACAGGAUUAGAUACCCUGGUAGUCCGUGCCGUAAACGAUGAAUACUAGGUGUAGGGGGUAUCGACUCCCUCUGUGCCGCAGUUAACACAUUAAGUAUUCCACCUGGGGAGUACGGCCGCAAGGUUGAAACUCAAAUGAAUUGACGGGG
rnacentral:rRNA from 1 species